CCUACGGGAGGCAGCAGUAGGGAAUCUUCCGCAAUGGACGAAAGUCUGACGGAGCAACGCCGCGUGAGUGAAGAAGGUUUUCGGAUCGUAAAACUCUGUUGUUAAAGAAGAACAAGGAUGAGAGUAACUGCUCAUCCCCUGACGGUAUUUAACCAGAAAGCCACGGCUGACUACGUGCCAGCAGCCGCGGUAAU
rnacentral:rRNA from 1 species